GUGCCCACCACUCGAAUGAGGGGACCUUUGGGCACUCUCACAAUGCGCCCUCUGCAGAAAGCUGGGCAGGAGAAUGAAGAUGAGGAGGAGCCGCAGACAGG